GAGUAUAGCGGCCAAAGCGGCGGGGAAACACCUGUACCCGUUCCGAACACAGAAGUUAAGCUCGCCUACGUUCUGUAUUGUACUAUGAUGUGCGAACUCUAGGGAAGUGCAGAACGCUGCUAUAU
rnacentral:rRNA from 1 species